rnacentral:rRNA from 1 species
AAAUUGAAGAGUUUGAUCAUGGCUCAGAUUGAACGCUGGCGGCAGGCCUAACACAUGCAAGUCGAACGGUAACAGGAAGCAGCUUGCUGCUUCGCUGACGAGUGGCGGACGGGUGAGUAAUGUCUGGGAAACUGCCUGAUGGAGGGGGAUAACUACUGGAAACGGUAGCUAAUACCGCAUAACGUCGCAAGACCAAAGAGGGGGACCUUCGGGCCUCUUGCCAUCGGAUGUGCCCAGAUGGGAUUAGCUAGUAGGUGGGGUAA